AAACUGCCGGGGCUACUAGAUAAUGUCUCCGGACCAAAGGUGUAAUUCCGUCCGAGGAUGAGUCCGCGUCCUAUUAGCUUGUUGGUGGGGUAAUGGCCUACCAAGGCUGUGAUGGGUACCGGGUGUGAGAGCAUGGCCCGGCUCACUGGGACUGAGACACUGCCCAGACACCUACGGGUGGCUGCAGUCGAGAAUCUUCGGCAAUGGGCGAAAGCCUGACCGAGCGACGCCGCGUGCGGGAUGAAGGCCUUCGGGUUGUAAACCGCUGUCAGAGGGGAGGAAAUGCAUGGGGGUUCUCCCCUGUGUUUGACCUAUCCUCAGAGGAAGUACGGGCUAAGUUCGUGCCAGCAGCCGCGGUAAUACGAACCGUACGAACGUUAUUCGGAAUCACUGGGCUUAAAGAGUGCGUAGGCGGCUUGGAAAGUUGGGUGUGAAAUCCCUCGGCUCAACCGAGGAAUUGCGCCCAAAACUUCCAGGCUUGAGGGAGGCAGAGGUAAGCGGAACUAAUGGUGGAGCGGUGAAAUGCGUUGAUAUCAUUAGGAACACCUGAGGCGAAAGCAGCUUACUGGGGUCUCUUCUGACGCUGAGGCACG
rnacentral:rRNA from 1 species